rfam:Parasitella parasitica strain CBS 412.66 genome assembly, contig: contig_6429
GCCGGGCUAGCUCAAUCGGUAGAGCGUGAGACUCUUAAUCUCAAGGUUGGGGGUUCGACCCCCCCGUUCGGCU